AUAUUGUUCAACUUGAUGUUCUAAAACAAGUUGUAAUUCUGCUUUGCUGUACUUAAAAAAGCCCAAAUGAAAAGCAAUGGAACUUGUUCCAUAUUCCUGCAGUUCUCUUUACCAGCGAACCAUCACGUCAUCCCUGUUCUGACUCAGAUGGAGGACACGCACAGUAGUCGCAACAGUGACCAUGUUAGCUGGGAGAAGGGCCGGUUUUAGAUGUCUUUACCCCCGGAACACCGGAUCAGAGAAGACCUCCCUCCCCUUCUGACAUUAAAACAACGUCAGACUUAGCACUUAAUGAAGCUCGUAUUGGUCAUGUUAUUCUUGUUUAAACAAUUAUACAGAAUUAAUAAAGUCAUAUUUCUGAAUACAGAUUUUGUUUGAUAUAUUUAUUUGGCCUCUGUCGUUUUGGAGGCUGGACAAGUGUGCCAUUUCGCUGCACGCUGAUGGGGCCCUGCAGCACUCCUCAGCCUUGGGCCAAAUCUGUAAGUAUCCACAAGUAAUAAUCUUGUUUUUGAAGUGAGAAAUCCCACCCCAGUGUCCCACAGUUGGCUCUGUGGUGGCUGCUGCUAUUGGAAUGGAUCCAACGAGGAGCAGCAUCACCUGAGCCUUGGGUCAAACAGCAGCGAGCCGCGUCCAGGCAGGGCCUCCGACUUCAUGGCCAGGGAGCCGCAGGGCGCAUGGACGCACACCACCAGACUUGACGUGCACGGACGCGAAUUUAACAUGCAUGUUCCAAAUGGUGUCAGGUGACUCUUUUAUACCUAAGCACGUUCAUGGUCAUUAAUGUUAGUUAUGAAUUCGUAUUUUUAUUUAGGUCAAUAAAUGUAUUUUUGAGCACGAUAACAGUUGUAACAUUUCUUUUUUUAUUCGGCGCUGAAACAGUAAACGGAAGCGUGACGAUGAAGUCGUGCUAUAGAGAGAGGCUGGGGUUUGGUUUGGGAGCUGUGGUUGGAAGUGAAACCUCAGCGAGCUGUGGGUGGGAUGUCGCCACACUUCAACUGAAGGCGGCAGCAGGAGCGACAUAAAACGUGGUGCGUGCUGAGAACUGAGCAGACGGCGCCGUGGCUCUGAGCCAUGGACACGGAGACGAGGAGACGUGCGGUGUGGAUGAGUGUUGUCAUCUGCAUCUUGUCCCGCAUCACGAGUGUUCAUUUACAGGCAUCCCCCAGAGAGUAUUUUGUUGCUGUGGGACAGGAAGUCACCUUGACGUGUGACAGAAACACUCCAGGAUGGUCACAGCACGACAAUCCCAAUAUCAGCUCUAUCACCUGGCGGCGUGGUGAAGGCAAUGGAGCACCCGAUAUGGAUUUAACAAACUCACGAGAUUUCAGGAUAACAGUCAUUAAGGAUGUUGAUCAACAUCGGGUUUCUAUCCGAAUCGCAAAUGUGCAGCACAGUGACGCUGGGGUUUACCGUUGCCUGGUUAAAAGCGAAGUUGGAACAGAGAGUCCCAUGAUGGAAAUUAUCACAAUGGAAGUUUCAGCAAACCCAUCCAGCGUCGUGAGUGAAGGAGAGACUGUCACAUUGACGUGUCACAUCUCAAACAGUGCCUAUGUACAAAGUAUUGUUUGGACUCACGGUGGCACUGAGAUGAACCCACGCAAUUCUGUGCUGACAUUACACAAAGUCAAAAGAUGUCAAGAGGGAGCAUGGACAUGUGGUGUCAAAACCCAAACUGACCAAGCCUCUGCUUCUCACCAUUUGACAGUCUCAUCACAGAAUGUUUGUGAUGUAAAGGCACCUGCUCCCAGAAAGUAUUUCGUUUCUGUGGGCCAGACGGUCAUUUUGCCAUGCGUUGAAGAUGAUCCAGAAUUUAAAUGGAAAGAUCACCCUUCCUCUGACCUGGCUCUGACCUGGCGAUGGGAGAGGCAGGGUAGUGGUAGCGAAACGAUUGUCCAGUAUCCUAAGCAAACUGGUCAACGGUAUGGAGAUGUAUGGAAAAAUACCGCUAUACCACUGGUUUCCAGAAUAACGACAUUGAAGUCUAAUUUUGACAAAGACAACUUCUCUAUUCAAAUCUCAAAAGUGCAACACAGUGAUGCUGGGCUCUACAUUUGCCACUUUGCUGGCUACUUUAGAACAAGCAGCUUAACAAGAGAACUGAUCACAAUGCAAGUUUCAGCAAACCCAUCCAGCGUCGUGAGUGAAGGAGAGACUGUCACAUUGACGUGUCACAUCUCAAACAGUGCCUAUGUACAAAGUAUUGUUUGGACUCACGGUGGCACUGAGAUGAACCCACGCAAUUCUGUGCUGACAUUACACAAAGUCAAAAGAUGUCAAGAGGGAGCAUGGACAUGUGGUGUCAAAAACCAAACUGGCCAAGCCUCUGCUUCUCACCAUUUGACAGUCUCAUCACAGAAUGUUUGUGAUGUAAAGGCACCUGCUCCCAGAAAGUAUUUUGUUUCUGUGGGCCAGUCGGUCAUUUUGCAAUGUGUUGAAGAUGAUCCAGAAUUUAAAUGGAAAGAUCACCCUUCCUCUGACCUGGCUCUGACCUGGCGAUGGGAGAGGCAGGGUAGUGGUAGCGAAACGAUUGUCCAGUAUCCUAAGCAAACUGGUCAACGGUAUGGAGAUGUAUGGAAAAAUACCGCUAUACCACUGGUUUCCAGAAUAACGGCAUUGAAGUCUUAUUUUGACAAAGACAACUUCUCUAUUCAAAUCUCAAAAGUGCAAUACAGUGAUGCUGGGCUCUACAUUUGCCACUUUACUGGCUACUUUAGAACAAGCAGCUUAACAAGAGAACUGAUCACAAUGCAAGUUUCAGCAAACCCAUCCAGCGUCGUGAGUGAAGGAGAGACUGUCACAUUGACGUGUCACAUCUCAAACAGUGCCUAUGUACAAAGUAUUGUUUGGACUCACGGUGGCACUGAGAUGAACCCACGCAAUUCUGUGCUGACAUUACACAAAAUCAAACGAUGUCAAGAGGGAGCAUGGACAUGUGGUGUCAAAACCCAAACUGACCAAGCCUCUGCUUCUCACGAUUUGACAGUCUCAUCACAGAAUGUUUGUGAUGUAAAGGCACCUGCUCCCAGAAAGUAUUUUGUUUCUGUGGGCCAGUCGGUCAUUUUGCAAUGUGUUGAAGAUGAUCCAGAAUUUAAAUGGAAAGAUCACCCUUCCUCUGACCUGGCUCUGACCUGGCGAUGGGAGAGGCAGGGUAGUGGUAGCGAAACGAUUGUCCAGUAUCCUAAGCAAACUGGUCAACGGUAUGGAGAUGUAUGGAAAAAUACCGCUAUACCACUGGUUUCCAGAAUAACGGCAUUGAAGUCUUAUUUUGACAAAGACAACUUCUCUAUUCAAAUCUCAAAAGUGCAAUACAGUGAUGCUGGGCUCUACAUUUGCCACUUUACUGGCUACUUUAGAACAAGCAGCUUAACAAGAGAACUGAUCACAAUGCAAGUUUCAGCAAACCCAUCCCGCUCUGUGACAGAAGGGGAGACUGUCACAUUGACCUGUCUCAUAUCAAACAGUGGCUAUGGAACAGGUCUGGUUUGGUAUCAUGGUCAAAUUUACAUUUCACAAGGCAAUCAGCUGACACUGAACAAAGUAAAACGAUCUCAACAGGGAGAAUGGAAAUGUUUUCUAUAUCACCAGCACAACAGUCCCUUUGCCUCGUACACACUGGAGCUAACAUCAACUGGAAGUGAUGUUUGGCAGGCACCGGCAGUGAAGAAAUAUUUCAUACAAGACGGUGGGAAGGUCUCUUUGUCAUGUGAUGAAGCUGAUCCUGGAUUUCAGUGGAAAGAUCAUUCACAGCAGACACGCGCUGUCACUUGGAAAUGGAGAUCGCAUGAUGGCACAACACAGCGAUAUGAUCAGAACAUACAAUAUCCAUCGCAACCGUCUGAUUAUAGAGAUCAGUUUCCUUUAACAUUGUCGCAAGUUACGUUUUCACGUGGUGGGGUUUACACAUGUGAGUUUACUGGCUACUAUAGGACAGGCACCCUCACAAUGGAACUGGUCACAAUGAAAGUUUCAGCCAACCCAUCCCGCUCUCUGACAGAAGGAGAGACUGUCACAUUGACCUGUCUCAUAUCAAACAGUGGCUAUGGAACAGUUCUAGUUUGGUAUCAUGGUGACAUUUACAUUGACCAAGGCAAUUCUGUGCUGAUACUGAACAAAGUAAAACGAUCUCAACAGAGACAAUGGAAAUGUGCUAUACAUGACCAGCAAAACAGUCCCUUUGCCUCGUACAAAUUGCAGUUUAGACCAACUGGAAGUCAUGUUGAGAAGGCACCCGCAGUGCAGAAAUAUUUCAUACACGAGGGUGGGGAGGUCUCUUUGUCAUGUGAUGAAUCUGAUCCUGGAUUUCAGUGGAAAGAUCAUUCACAGCGGACACGCGCUGUCACUUGGAAAUGGAGAUCGAAUGAUGGCACAACAAAGCGAUAUGAUCAGAACAUACAAUAUCCAUCGCAACCGUCUGAUUAUAGAGAUCAGUUUCCUUUAGCAUUGUCGAAAGUUACGUUUUCACGUGGUGGGGUUUACACAUGUGAGUUUACUGGCUACUAUAGGACAGGCACCCUCACAAUGGAACUGGUCACAAUGAAAGUUUCAUCCAACACAUCCGAUACCGUGGCAGAAGGAGAGAGCAUCAGUCUGACCUGCCAGCUCUCUAACGACUCCUAUGCACACAUGGUCAGAUGGAUUCACAAUGGGAUUGAGAUCAGCCAUCAAAGCAGCCUCGUUUUGGUGAAAGUGAAGGCUGCUCAGAGUGGGUUGUGGAAGUGUUCCCUGAAAAGGGAGAGUGGAGAGAUCUCAGAGGUAGCGUACAAUUUGAACGUGCGGAAAAUUGGUGCAGAGCAAAACGCACCUAGGAAUUACGCGGCUAAAAUUGGUGAAGGAACCACGUUGCCCUGCACCGAGUCUGACCCUGGGUUUGUGUGGAGGAGCUCCUCCAAUGAGUCUCGUUCGGUCACCUGGUACUGGAGGCCACGUGGUGACAGCACAGUCCGUACGAUACUCGAGGCCCACCCAGCCGGACCUCACGCUGCAUUCAGUUCCCACCUCAACUCCCACGUGAACAUCUCGUCCUCCGCUUUUGACAACGACGACUUCUCUCUGACCAUCUCAGUGGUGAAUGAAAGUUCUGCUGGUGUCUACACUUGUCAGCUGACAGGAUAUUAUCGGUCAGGGAGUCUGAUGUCGGAAAUGUUUACAACACAAGGUACAAUACUUUCCUUUUUUAACCUAAAACACAAUACUUGGCAUUAUGUUGUACGUUCUAAAUUAUGUCUUCCAAUGUUUAAAAGAUAAUCUCUUGCUUUCAAUGUUAACUUGCAGAUCAGGAAAGUGAAUUUAAACCUACAGCUCUUGUGAUGUCAUACUACGCAGCUGUGAAACACAUUUGAGUAAAUGUCACCACACUGCUUUUAAAAAUGUCCAAACAAACUGCAUUUGUUUACUAAAAAUUUUCACCAUCUCAUCGGUUCUUGCAGUUUUCAUAUUUUGUAUUUCGCACCAGUGCCAGGGGCAUCUCCGUACGUGUCGGUUGCUGUUGGUGUGGUGCUGGCUGUGCUUCUCUCUGCUGGAGCUGCUGUUGUUGCAGUGGUGGGCUAUAGAAGAAGGAAGCUCAAUGCAGCAGAGUCUCAGGCAGAGCAAGAAAGUGCUUAUCAAGCAUUGAACUUGCAAUCGAUGAUGAUGGUUGGCCCUGAUCCACAGCGAGGAAGCGACUAUGAAGUGCCGGAAUCGCCAUCGGUGACCAACAAUGAUGCCCCCCGGCAGGAGCGCGAAGGCCACUACCAAGCCCUCAAGCUGCAGCGAAAGGAGGCAGAAGACGAUUAUGACAAUCUUAACGUACGACGCGAGGACGACACGGGCCUUG